AGAAUUAUGGAAAAGGUAGAGAGAUGGAAAAGGAUGAAACAUUUUGAUACAUAUAUAAAUUGUCUUCUUUUUCUUUAUGCCAAAAGAAUUAGUAGCAGAUGCAUAUCAAAGUAAAAGGAGCAAAGGAAGACGAGCAAGACUAUCAAAGAUAUGUGUAGAAAGACGUGAAAGGGAGGAGUAAAAGAAAAGAAGGAAAAGAUCUCCUAACAACUCAAGCGAAGGAAGAAAAGAAAGUAAGAUCCAAAAUUAAAGGAGUUCAAGACUACUAAGAAUUCGCCUAUCAUAACCACCGAAGAACUUAAGAUACGCAUCUAAAAGGAAAGCUGUUAAACUCCGAAAUCAAAGGACUAAUCAAAAGUUGUUCGUUGAAGUGGGAUUCACUCGCAGAUGGAAAGUUCUAUCAAGCCCGCCGGUCAAGAUUCAAAUCAAGGAGGCUCCACACUUAUUCUUGGAAGGAAUCAAUUAUGAUUCACUUCCAAGGAUCAAUACCCUUAGGACUGCAAUCUCUCAAGAUCUACCACAGUUAAAUCAAAGCAGAUCUCUCAAGGUGUAUAUAUAUUACACAACGGCAAAGAGGAGCAGCAUACUUUGAUCAAACCAAUUUCGUGCUCAUUGUUCUACUCUAAAUAAGCAUGGUAAUCUAAGUAUGAUUUACUGUGUAACCAGUAUAGAGAAAAAAUAGAGAAAAAUAUUGGUGAGACAUUGUAUCAAAUUACAUCGAGUGUACUUAGAACCAAAACGGCAGUUGGUAUUCGUGAUAACAUCAACAUACUUGUACAAAGUUUUAAAAUAGCUUUGAAGAGAGAAACCUCUUGUAACCCAAGGGGACUAGAGUAG